UACGGGGGGGGGCAAGCGUUGUUCGGAAUUACUGGGCGUAAAGGGUGCGUAGGCGGUUCGCUAAGUUGGAUGUGAAAACUCUGGGCUUAACCCAGAGCCUGCAUCCAAUACUGACGAGCUAGAGUUCUGGAGGGGGUAGCGGAAUUCCUGGUGUAGCGGUGAAAUGCGUAGAUAUCAGGAGGAACACCGGUGGCGAAGGCGGCUACCUGGACAGAGUCUGACGCUGAGGCACGAAAGCUAGGGGAGCAAACAGG
rnacentral:rRNA from 1 species